rnacentral:RNase_P_RNA from 1 species
CAAGAGAGCCAGACGAUCGCCGGUCGUGCUCGCAAGAGCAGGGCGGGAGGAAAGUCCGAACUCCGCAGGGCAGUGCGCCGGGUAACGCCCGGUCGGGGCAACUCGAAGGACCAGUGGCACAGAAAACAUACCGCCUCGAGUGCCGGGUCGGGGGCCGGAAAGGGUGACAGUCACACUUUCCGGUCCGCGACCCGACACUCGGGGUAAGGGUGAAAAGGUGCGGUAAGAGCGCACCGCGCUCGUGGCAACACGGGUGGCAGGCAAAACCCCGCACGGAGCAAGGCCAAAUAGGGAGGCACGAGGCUCACGCUUCAUGGGACGGCCCGUCCCACGCUUCCGGGUAGGCUGCUGGAUCCCGUCAGCAAUGACGGGGCUAGAGGAAUGAUCGUCAUCUCGCCGCGGUCGCAAGGCCGCGGCGAGGCACAGAAUUCGGCUUACGGCUCUCUCGGCGG